rnacentral:rRNA from 1 species
GCGUAGGCGACUUUCUGGUCUGUACUGCACACUGAGGCGCGAAAGCGUGGGGCCUGACAUACAGGAUUAGAUACCCUGGUAGUCCACGCCGAACUGAGGAGGGCUAAGUGUUAGAGGGUUUCCGCCCUUUAGUGCUGAAGUUAACGCAUUAAGCACUCCGCCUGUCCAGUACGGCCGCAAGGCUGAAACUCAAAGGAAUUGACGGGGGCCCGCACAAGCGGUGGAGCAUGUGGUUUAAUUCGAAGCAACGCGAAGAACCUUACCAGGUCUUGACAUCCUCUGAAAACCCUAGAGAUAGGGCUUCUCCUUCGGGAGCAGAGUGACAGGUGGUGCAUGGUUGUCGUCAGCUCGUGUCGUGAGAUGUUUGGGUUUAGUCCCGCAACGAGCGCAACCCCUUGAUCUUAGUUGCCAUCAUUAAGUUGGGGCACUCUAAGGGUGGACUGCCGGUGACAACCCGGAGGAAAGGUGGGGAUGACGUCAAAUCAUCAUGCCCCUUAUGACCUGGGCUACACACGUGCUACAAUGGACGGUACAAAGAGCUGCAAGACCGCGAGGUGGACCUAAUCUCAUAAAACCGUUCUCAAGUCGAAUGGAAGCUGCAACUCGCCUACAUGAAGCUGGAAUCGCUAGGUAUCCGCGGAAUCAGCAUGGCGCGUGGAAAUACGUCCCCAGGCCUUGUAACACACCGCGGUACAACCGAGCGGGGUUGGGUAACCCCCGAAAGUCGUGGGUAAACCUUUUUGGAACAAGCCCCCAUAAUGUGGGACUAUGAUGGGGGUGAAUUCUAA